UGAGGAAUAUUGCGCAAUGGGGGAAACCCUGACGCAGCAACGCCGCGUGAGUGAGGAAGGUUUUCGGACCGUAAAGCUCUGUCGAGCGGGAAGAAAUGCAUGGUGGCUAAUAUCCAUCAUGCUUGACGGUACCGCUAAAGGAAGCACCGGCUAACUCCGUGCCAGCAGCCGCGGUAAUACGGAGGGUGCGAGCGUUGUUCGGAAUUAUUGGGCGUAAAGCGCGUGUAGGCGGUUUGGUAAGUCUGAUGUGAAAGCCCCGGGCUCAACCUGGGAAGUGCAUUGGAAACUGUCAGACUUGAAUACGGGAGAGGGUAGUGGAAUUCCUAGUGUAGGAGUGAAAUCCGUAGAUAUUAGGAGGAACACCGGUGGCGAAGGCGGCUACCUGGACCGAUAUUGACGCUGAGACGCGAAAGCGUGGGGAGCAAACA
rnacentral:rRNA from 1 species